rnacentral:rRNA from 1 species
CACGUAGGGACCAAGCGUUGUCCGGAUUCAUUGGGCGUAAAGAGCUCGUAGGCGGUUCGAUAAGUCGGGUGUGAAACCUCCAGGCUCAACCUGGAGACGCCACCCGAUACUGUCGUGACUAGAGUCCAGUAGGGGAGCGUGGAAUUCCUGGUGUAGCGGUGAAAUGCGCAGAUAUCAGGAGGAACACCAGCGGCGAAGGCGGCGCUCUGGGCCGUAACUGACGCUGAGGAGCGAAAGCAUGGGUAGCAAACAGG